ensembl:snRNA U6 U6 spliceosomal RNA
GUGUUUACUUCAACAGCACAUAUACUAAAAUUAGAGCCACACAGAGAAGAUUAGCAAAGCCCCUAUAUAAGGAGAACACACAAAUUCAUGAAACAUUUCUUUUUUUU